ACCACCAUUGUGUCCUUGAGUAAGACACUUAACUCCAGGUUGUUCCGGGGGGAUUGUCCCUGUAAUAAGUGCUCUGUAUAAUACAUUGGUACUCAGAAGGUUGCUGGUUUGAUCCCCACAGUCACCACCAUUGUGUCCUUGAGUAAGACACUUAACUCCAGGUUGUUCCGGGGGGAUUGUCCCUGUAAUAAGUGCACUGUAUAAUACAUUGGUACUCAGAAGGUUGCUGGUUUGAUCCCCACAGUCACCACCAUUGUGUCCUUGAGUAAGACACUUAACUCCAGGUUGCUCCGGGGGGAUUGUCCCUGUAAUAAGUGCACUGUAUAAUACAUUGGUACUCAGAAGGUUGCUGGUUUGAUCCCCACAGUCACCACCAUUGUGUCCUUGAGUAAGGCACUUAACUCCAGGUUGCUCCGGGGGGAUUGUCCCUGUAAUAAGUGCACUGUAUAAUACAUUGGUACUCAGAAGGUUGCUGGUUUGAUCCCCACAGUCACCACCAUUGUGUCCUUGAGUAAGACACUUAACUCCAGGUUGCUCCGGGGGGAUUGUCCCUGUAAUAAGUGCACUGUAUAAUACAUUGGUACUCAGAAGGUUGCUGGUUUGAUCCCCACAGU